rnacentral:rRNA from 1 species
UAGCGAAGGGGGCAAGCGUUGUUCGGAAUUACUGGGCGUAAAGGGCGCGUAGGCGGCCGAUCAAGUCAGGCGUGAAAUUCCCGGGCUCAACCUGGGGGCUGCGCUUGAUACUGAUUGGCUUGAAUGCGGGAGAGGAUAGUGGAAUUCCCAGUGUAGAGGUGAAAUUCGUAGAUAUUGGGAAGAACACCAGUGGCGAAGGGCGGGAUCCUGGGCCAGUACUGACGCUGAGGAGCGAAAGCGUGGGGAGCAACAGG